GACGAACGCUGGCGGCGUGCUUAACACAUGCAAGUCGAACGGAAAGGCCCUGCUUUUGUGGGGUGCUCGAGUGGCGAACGGGUGAGUAACACGUGAGUAACCUGCCCUUGACUUUGGGAUAACUUUAGGAAACUGGGGCUAAUACCGGAUAGGAGCUCCUGCUGCAUGGUGGGGGUUGGAAAGUUUCGGCGGUUGGGGAUGGACUCGCGGCUUAUCAGCUUGUUGGUGGGGUAGUGGCUUACCAAGGCUUUGACGGGUAGCCGGCCUGAGAGGGUGACCGGCCACAUUGGGACUGAGAUACGGCCCAGAAUCCUACGGGAGGCAGCAGUGGGGAAUAUUGCACAAUGGGCGGAAGCCUGAUGCAGCAACGCCGCGUGCGGGAUGACGGCUUUCGGGGUGUAAACCGCUUUCGCAUGUGACGAAGCGUGAGUGACGGUAAUGGGUAAAGAAGCACCGGCUAACUACGUG
rnacentral:rRNA from 1 species